CCAAUAGCGUAUAUUAAAGUUGUUGCAGUUAAAAAGCUCGUAGUUGAAUUUCGGGGUCAGUAGACUGGUCGUGCCAAUGGUAUGCACUGGUUUUACUGAUUCCUCCCUCUUGUAGAACCGUAAUGCCAUUAAGUUGGUGUUGCGGGGAAACAGGACUGUUACUUUGAAAAAAUUAGAGUGUUUAAAGCAGGCUAACGCUUGAAUACAUUAGCAUGGAAUAAUGAAAUAGGACGAACGAUCCUAUUUUGUUGGUUUCUAGGAUUGACGUAAUGAUUAAUAGGGAUAGUUGGGGGCAUUAGUAUUCAAUUGUCAGAGGUGAAAUUCUUGGAUUUAUUGAAGACUAACUACUGCGAAAGUAUUUGCCAAGGAUGUUUUCAUUAAUCAAGAACGAAAGUUAGGGGAUCGAAGACGAUCAGAUACCGUCGUAGUCUUAACCAUAAACUAUGCCGACUAGGGAUCGGAUGAUGUUAAUUUUUUAAUGACUCAUUCGGCGCCUUACG
rnacentral:rRNA from 1 species